CUGGUUGCCAAGGUAGCAGAGCAGGCGUCACCCGUUGCUAUGGCGCUACUGAACCUUGCAGCCUUGUCAUUCCUGAUAGGCUUAGCGCCUGGGGCUGCGGAGGAAGAAGUGUGAGCAUUGGUUCAGGCCUCUCUCGGCCAGGAAAGGAAUUGACUGAAAAACCAACAGGUGUCAGGACCGGAGCAGGUUUGAGCUUGAGGGGAUUCUGCAGCCAGAGGAGGAAGAUGACUUGAGGUUGGCCUGAAAGAGGGCCCGCCCUCCUGCGCGGAAUGCCAUGGUAAUUCUGAGGUGCUGAUGCUUUACAAUGCCUGAUCAAGACACAAAGGUGAAAAGCAUAGAGAAAAGCAACUGAUAAGAAGCAACAGGGGACCACCACCAGGGGACUAUCAGAUCUUAAAAGACUCCGGUGCCUGUUGAACGUCCAGUCAAGCAAACAGCACGGUAGUGUUUUCAAAGGAUGUGGUGUGCGAAUAUACACCACGGGUUUCCGCAAGGGUCCCAUUUCACUUCCUUGUGUGCACGCUCUCUGUUCAAUCCGGUGCCGUCCUUGCUUCCUCUAGCUGCUGCUCUCACCUGGGUAGGGCUGGGCCAAGACUUGGUCGGCAUCCAGCCUUUUUGGUUUCUUUGCUUGUCGUCAUGUGCUCUAACCAACAGGACUCAGAUUCCUCAGUCUGUAAACAACCGGUUCUGUCCACAGAUGCCAGCGAUUACCUCCCAGAGCUUGAGGGAAACUCAUUCUCGGAAGCACAGGUUUACCACAUCUUCCUCCUCUCUGUACCCCCUCCCCAUCCUUCUCCUUCAUAGAAUACACCCCAUAAUCCUUC
rnacentral:lncRNA from 1 species